rnacentral:rRNA from 1 species
CCGGCACGGGUGAGUAACGCGUAUCCAACCUGCCGUCUACUCUUGGACAGCCUUCUGAAAGGAAGAUUAAUACAAGAUGGCAUCAUGAGUCCGCAUGUUCACAUGAUUAAAGGUAUUCCGGUAGACGAUGGGGAUGCGUUCCAUUAGAUAGUAGGCGGGGUAACGGCCCACCUAGUCUUCGAUGGAUAGGGGUUCUGAGAGGAAGGUCCCCCACAUUGGAACUGAGACACGGUCCAA